rnacentral:rRNA from 2 species
UUAAGCGACUAAGCGUACACGGUGGAUGCCCUGGCAGUCAGAGGCGAUGAAGGACGUGCUAAUCUGCGAAAAGCGUCGGUAAGGUGAUAUGAACCGUUAUAACCGGCGAUGUCCGAAUGGGGAAACCCAGUGCAAUUCGUUGCACUAUCGUUAACUGAAUACAUAGGUUAACGAGGCGAACCGGGGGAACUGAAACAUCUAAGUACCCCGAGGAAAAGAAAUCAACCGAGAUUCCCCCAGUAGCGGCGAGCGAACGGGGAGCAGCCCAGAGUCUGAAUCAGCUUGUGUGUUAGUGGAACGGUCUGGAAAGUCCGACGGUACAGGGUGAUAGUCCCGUACACCAAAAUGCACAGGUUGUGAACUCGAAGAGUAGGGCGGGACACGUGGUAUCCUGUCUGAAUAUGGGGGGACCAUCCUCCAAGGCUAAAUACUCCUGACUGACCGAUAGUGAACCAGUACCGUGAGGGAAAGGCGAAAAGAACCCCGGCGAGGGGAGUGAAAAAGAACCUGAAACCGUGUACGUACAAGCAGUGGGAGCACCUUCGGGUGUGACUGCGUACCUUUUGUAUAAUGGGUCAGCGACUUAUAUUCUGUAGCAAGGUUAACCGUAUAGGGGAGCCGCAGGGAAACCGAGUCUUAACUGGGCGUUAAGUUGCAGGGUAUAGACCCGAAACCCGGUGAUCUAGCCAUGGGCAGGUUGAAGGUUGGGUAACACUAACUGGAGGACCGAACCGACUAAUGUUGAAAAAUUAGCGGAUGACUUGUGGCUGGGGGUGAAAGGCCAAUCAAACCGGGAGAUAGCUGGUUCUCCCCGAAAGCUAUUUAGGUAGCGCCUCGUGAACUCAUCUUCGGGGGUAGAGCACUGUUUCGGCUAGGGGGUCAUCCCGACUUACCAACCCGAUGCAAACUACGAAUACCGAAGAAUGUUAUCACGGGAGACACACGGCGGGUGCUAACGUCCGUCGUGAAGAGGGAAACAACCCAGACCGCCAGCUAAGGUCCCAAAGUCAUGGUUAAGUGGGAAACGAUGUGGGAAGGCACAGACAGCCAGGAUGUUGGCUUAGAAGCAGCCAUCAUUUAAAGAAAGCGUAAUAGCUCACUGGUCGAGUCGGCCUGCGCGGAAGAUGUAACGGGGCUAAACCAUGCACCGAAGCUGCGGCAGCGACACNNNNNNNNNNNNNNNNNNNNNNNNNNNNNNNNNNNNNNCCUGUGAGGGUUGCUGGAGGUAUCAGAAGUGCGAAUGCUGACAUAAGUAACGAUAAAGCGGGUGAAAAGCCCGCUCGCCGGAAGACCAAGGGUUCCUGUCCAACGUUAAUCGGGGCAGGGUGAGUCGACCCCUAAGGCGAGGCCGAAAGGCGUAGUCGAUGGGAAACAGGUUAAUAUUCCUGUACUUGGUGUUACUGCGAAGGGGGGACGGAGAAGGCUAUGUUAGCCGGGCGACGGUUGUCCCGGUUUAAGCAUGUAGGCUGGUUAUCCAGGCAAAUCCGGAUAAUCAAGGCUGAGGUGUGAUGACGAGGCACUACGGUGCUGAAGUAACAAAUGCCCUGCUUCCAGGAAAAGCCUCUAAGCAUCAGGUAACAUCAAAUCGUACCCCAAACCGACACAGGUGGUCAGGUAGAGAAUACCAAGGCGCUUGAGAGAACUCGGGUGAAGGAACUAGGCAAAAUGGUGCCGUAACUUCGGGAGAAGGCACGCUGGUGUGUAGGUGAAGUCCCUGCGGAUGGAGCUGAGACCAGUCGAAGAUACCAGCUGGCUGCAACUGUUUAUUAAAAACACAGCACUGUGCAAACACGAAAGUGGACGUAUACGGUGUGACGCCUGCCCGGUGCCGGAAGGUUAAUUGAUGGGGUUAUCCGUAAGGAGAAGCUCUUGAUCGAAGCCCCGGUAAACGGCGGCCGUAACUAUAACGGUCCUAAGGUAGCGAAAUUCCUUGUCGGGUAAGUUCCGACCUGCACGAAUGGCGUAAUGAUGGCCAGGCUGUCUCCACCCGAGACUCAGUGAAAUUGAACUCGCUGUGAAGAUGCAGUGUACCCGCGGCAAGACGGAAAGACCCCGUGAACCUUUACUAUAGCUUGACACUGAACAUUGAGCCUUGAUGUGUAGGAUAGGUGGGAGGCUUUGAAGCGUGGACGCCAGUCUGCGUGGAGCCAACCUUGAAAUACCACCCUUUAAUGUUUGAUGUUCUAACGUGGGCCCCUGACCGGGGUUGCGGACAGUGUCUGGUGGGUAGUUUGACUGGGGCGGUCUCCUCCCAAAGCGUAACGGAGGAGCACGAAGGUUAGCUAAUCCUGGUCGGACAUCAGGAGGUUAGUGCAAUGGCAUAAGCUAGCUUGACUGCGAGCGUGACGGCGCGAGCAGGUGCGAAAGCAGGUCAUAGUGAUCCGGUGGUUCUGAAUGGAAGGGCCAUCGCUCAACGGAUAAAAGGUACUCCGGGGAUAACAGGCUGAUACCGCCCAAGAGUUCAUAUCGACGGCGGUGUUUGGCACCUCGAUGUCGGCUCAUCACAUCCUGGGGCUGAAGUAGGUCCCAAGGGUAUGGCUGUUCGCCAUUUAAAGUGGUACGCGAGCUGGGUUUAGAACGUCGUGAGACAGUUCGGUCCCUAUCUGCCGUGGGCGCUGGAGAAUUGAGGGGGGCUGCUCCUAGUACGAGAGGACCGGAGUGGACGCAUCACUGGUGUUCGGGUUGUCAUGCCAAUGGCACUGCCCGGUAGCUAAAUGCGGAAGAGAUAAGUGCUGAAAGCAUCUAAGCACGAAACUUGCCCCGAGAUGAGUUCUCCCUGAGACUUUAAGUCUCCUGAAGGAACGUUGAAGACGACGACGUUGAUAGGCCGGGUGUGUAAGCGCAGCGAUGCGUUGAGCUAACCGGUACUAAUGAACCGUGAGGCUUAACCUU